AGGGAAUCUUCCACAAUGGACGAAAGUCUGAUGGAGCAACGCCGCGUGAGUGAUGAAGGGUUUCGGCUCGUAAAACUCUGUUGUUGGAGAAGAAAAGGUGUGAGAGUAACUGUUCACAUCUUGACGGUAUCCAACCAGAAAGCCACGGCUAACUACGUGCCAGCAGCCGCGGUAAUACGUAGGUGGCAAGCGUUGUCCGGAAUUAUUGGGCGUAAAGCGCGCGCAGGCGGUCCUUUAAGUCGGAUGUGAAAGCCUACGGCUCAACCGUGGAGGGUCAUUGGAAACUGGAGGACUUGAGUGCAGAAGAGGACAGUGGAACUCCAUGUGUAGCGGUGAAAUGCGUAGAUAUAUGGAAGAACACCAGUGGCGAAGGCGGCUGUCUGGUCUGUAACUGACGCUGAGGCUCGAAAGCAUGGGUAGCGAAC
rnacentral:rRNA from 1 species